ensembl:snRNA U1 U1 spliceosomal RNA
AUGCUUACCUGGCAGGGGAGCCACCAUGAUCCCGAAGAUGGUUUUCCAGGGGUGAGGCUCACCCAUUGCACUGCGGGUGUGCUGACCCCUGCGAUUUCCCCAAAUGCGGGAAACCUGACUGCAUAAUUUGUGAUAGUGGGGGACUGCGUUCGCUCUCCCCUG